ACACGACUCUCGGCAAUGGAUAUCUCGGCUCUCGCAUCGAUGAAGAGCGCAGCGAAAUGCGAUACGUGGUGCGAAUUGCAGAAUCCCGCGAACCAUCGAGUCUUUGAACGCAAGUUGCGCCCGAGGCCGACAGGCCGAGGGCACGUCCGCCUGGGCGUCAAGC
rnacentral:rRNA from 1 species